rnacentral:rRNA from 1 species
GAGCUAACGCGUUAAGUCGACCGCCUGGGGAGUACGGCCGCAAGGUUAAAACUCAAAUGAAUUGACGGGGGCCCGCACAAGCGGUGGAGCAUGUGGUUUAAUUCGAUGCAACGCGAAGAACCUUACCUACUCUUGACAUCCAGCGAACUUUCCAGAGAUGGCUUGGUGCCUUCGGGAACGCUGAGACAGGUGCUGCAUGGCUGUCGUCAGCUCGUGUUGUGAAAUGUUGGGUUAAGUCCCGCAACGAGCGCAACCCUUAUCCUUUGUUGCCAGCGAUUCGGUCGGGAACUCAAAGGAGACUGCCGGUGAUAAACCGGAGGAAGGUGGGGAUGACGUCAAGUCAUCAUGGCCCUUACGAGUAGGGCUACACACGUGCUACAAUGGCGCAUACAAAGAGAAGCGACCUCGCGAGAGCAAGCGGACCUCAUAAAGUGCGUCGUAGUCCGGAUCGGAGUCUGCAACUCGACUCCGUGAAGUCGGAAUCGCUAGUAAUCGUGGAUCAGAAUGCCACGGUGAAUACGUUCCCGGGCCUUGUACACACCGCCCGUCACACCAUGGGAGUGGGUUGCAAAAGAAGUAGGUAGCUUAACCUUCGGGAGGGCGCU